AUGCACAGCCGGUAUCUCGAGUGUUGUCAUGAGGUGCUGGCCUGUGGUGGCUUUGUGCGAGGAUGUGGACUGUGCACAGUUGAGCGCAUUGCUGUGAGAUUCCCUCUACCUGCCCCUCUCUGGCAGCACUACGCAUCCCGCCAUCAGCUUGGAGCUGUUGUGCGUCCCUCAUGCCUCCCGCAGUGGGCAGGACUCCGUGUGCCCACCAGCCCUGGCACCACCUGCCAUGGAAGAGAAGCCCCCAGCUCUUGGAAUUCCCCGGCAUCCAAAACUUCUGGCAUUUUCAGCAAGUGAACGCUCCUACGUGAACUUCGUUUGCUGUCCUGCCUUUGAUAAGAGCUAGCUCUGCGCGUUGUAAAAAAUCAAACCGCUGUUAACGACCCACUGGCGCAUCGCUUAAUUCCAUGCAGAUUUCACGCUCCCACACAGCUCAAAAUAGCCUUGGGUUUCAUAUUCAAACCCCACCAUGGCUACAGCCUGGACACGAGGUUAGCGUGGACAGCUCUUCUGCCACCAGUGAUGCUUGUGGCCCAGCUUCUGGAACUUUCUCAUGGUGAUUUUUAAUAUCAUCCCCAGAAUCAGCAAAACCUUGUGACUUUGAGCCAAUUCUGGUGACAUUUGUGACAAGCCUGAAGUAUUAACUAUUUAUAAAAUUUUAUUACUUUCAAAUAAAGACAACUUCCCAAGCUAAUAGCCA
rnacentral:lncRNA from 1 species